UACGAAGGGGGCUAGCGUUGCUCGGAAUCACUGGGCGUAAAGGGUGCGUAGGCGGGUCUUUAAGUCAGGGGGGAAAUCCUGGAGCUCAACUCCAGAACUGCCUUUGAUACUGAGGAUCUUGAGUUCGGGAGAGGUGAGUGGAACUGCGAGUGUAGAGGUGAAAUUCGUAGAUAUUCGCAAGAACACCGGUGGCGAAGGCGGCUCUCUGGACCGUAACUGACGCUGAGGCGCGAAAGCGUGGGGAGCAAACAGG
rnacentral:rRNA from 1 species